rnacentral:rRNA from 1 species
CCCUACGGGGGGCUGCAGUGAGGAAUAUUGCGCAAUGGGGGCAACCCUGACGCAGCAACGCCGCGUGAGUGAGGAAGGUUUUCGGACUGUAAAGCUCUGUCGAGCGGGAAGAAAUGCCUGGUGGCUAAUAUCCAUCAUGCUUGACGGUACCGCUAGAGGAAGCACCGGCUAACUCCGUGCCAGCAGCCGCGGUAAUACGGGGGGUGCAAGCGUUGUUCGGAAUCAUUGGGCGUAAAGAGCGUGUAGGCGGCUGGAUAAGUCAGAUGUGAAAGCCCUGGGCUUAACCCAGGAAGUGCAUUUGAAACUAUUCAGCUGGAGUAAGGGAGAGGAAAGUGGAAUUCCUGGUGUAGAGGUGAAAUUCGUAGAUAUCAGGAGGAACACCGGCGGCGAAGGCGACUUUCUGGCCCUAUACUGACGCUGAGACGCGAGAGCGUGGGUAGCAAACAGGAUUAGAUACCCGGGUAGUC